rnacentral:rRNA from 1 species
UACAGAGGUCUCAAGCGUUGUUCGGAUUCAUUGGGCGUAAAGGGUGCGUAGGUGGCGCCAUAAGUCAGGUGUGAAAUCUCGGGGCUCAACCCCGAAACUGCACUUGAUACUGUGGUGCUCGAGUACUGGAGAGGAGAUUGGAAUUUACGGUGUAGCAGUGAAAUGCGUAGAUAUCGUAAGGAAGACCAGUGGCGAAGGCGAAUCUCUGGACAGUUACUGACACUGAGGCACGAAGGCCAGGGGAGCAAACAGG